rnacentral:rRNA from 1 species
AUUGAACGCUGGCGGCAGGCUUAACACAUGCAAGUCGAGCGGAGCGGCGGACGGGUGAGUAAUGCUUAGGAAUCUGCCUAUUCGUGGGGGACAAAAUCUCGAAAGGGAUGCUAAUACCGCAUACUAAUAGAUGAGACUAAGUCGUGUUAGCUAGUUGGUGGGGUAAAGGCCUACAAAGGCGACGAACUGUAGCGGGGCUGAGAGGAUGAUCCGCCACACUGGGACUGAUGAACGGCCCAGACUCCUACUGGGUGCCGCAGUGGGGAAUAUUGGAAAAUGGGGGGAACCCUGAACCAGCCAUGCCGCGUGUGUGAAGGAGGCCUUAUGGUUGUAAAGCACUUUAAGCGAGGAGGCGUUACUCGCAGAAUAAGCACCGGCUAACUCUGUGCCAGCAGCCGCGGUAAUAC